rnacentral:misc_RNA from 1 species
UACCACUGUUUGCCUAUUGAACCAAAUUUUGCGGAGAAACUGGACUAUUUUUAGUUCACAUAUCAAACCAACCCAGAAAACUCUGAAAAUUUACAGGCUCUUUAUACCUCAUUUCACUAGUUCCUGUGUCAAUUUUCGAAGUUGUUUGACAUUGUUUGCCUAGCAAACCAAAAUUUGGCGACAGACCUGAUCAAAUUUAGUUCAC